UACGAAGGGGGCUAGCGUUGCUCGGAAUCGCUGGGCGUAAAGCGCACGUAGGCGGCUUGUUAAGUCAGGGGUGAAAUCCUGGAGCUCAACUCCAGAACUGCCUUUGAUACUGGCGAGCUUGAGUUCGGGAGAGGUGAGUGGAACUGCGAGUGUAGAGGUGAAAUUCGUAGAUAUCGGGAGGAACACCUGUGGCGAAGGCGGCUCACUGGCCCGGUACUGACGCUGAGGUGCGAAA
rnacentral:rRNA from 1 species